CUAUAGCUAUGUGAUAAAAAUUUGUGAAAUUUUAUUUUUUUAAUUUUAAUAGUAAAUUAUUAAAGAUCUUGUUCUGAGCUUUCCAACGAGGUAUAGAAUGUUAAUAUAGGUCCAAUUGAUAAAAAAAUGUUGUAAAAUUUGACGCGUUUUCACUUAUACAUUGAAGCAAUGGAAUCCCAGGAAGUGAGACUUUCUGAAAAAUCGAACUAAAGUUACUAUUUGAUAUUCGGCCAGAGCCUGAUAUGACCAGAUAGUAAAAUUUGAUAUUCGUCCGAGGCUGGAUAUCUAAGUGUCUUGUAAAUAGCUUGUAUUGCUGAACAUUUUACGAAACAUACCUAUAUUUGCUGGUAUUAUUUUUUUUUCCUUUAUAUACCUUAUUGUUUUAAACUCUGUUACUGAUUGAUUUAUUGAAGAUUAACAAUAUUUAUAAACAGAAAUUAAUCUGUGUAGCAUGAGCGUGUCUGUGUGUAUUAUAUAUAUAUAUAUAUAUAUAUAUAUAUAUAUAUAUAUGCAUCUAGAUUUACAGCUGGAUAUAGACUGCCUAUUCCUAUAUUUCUAUCUAUAAAGUCUAGGAUAGACAUCUGCACAUUGAAUGAUUAUUUUUUUAAAUCACAGUAGAGUAAAUACUGGGGCACUGCGGUUGAAUGGUUAAGCACUUGGGUUCCGAACCUGAGGUCCUGGGUUCAAAUCCAGAUGAAGACUGGGAUUUUGAAUUUCGGGAUUUUUAGGACGCCCUUGAGUCCACCCAACUCUAAUGGGUACCUGACUUUAGUUGGGUAAAAUAAAGGCAGUUGGUCACAUAACACCCUGCUUGUUAACCGUUAGCCAAAGAAACAGAUGACCGUAACAUCAUCUGCCCCAUAGAUCGCAAGGUCUGAAGGGAAAACUUUAUUUUUUUACUUUUUAGAGUAUCUACUGAGUCUAAAUAGAUCAUAGAAUAUAGUGACAAGACUAGAACUAGAAAAAUAGUAAAUUUAGACUAUUUUAGACUAAGAUUUUUAUAGAUAAUAAUUAUUUUAUGAUUAUAUAAAUUACUCUUAACUCUAGGACUAGAUUUAUUACAGUCUUAUCUUUUUAAUACAUCUAGAUAUAUUUAUUAGGCAUAUCAUUACUAGAUCUAGAUGAUUAUUUUCAAUCCAUCUAAAUUAGCAUAUUAUCUAUCUGCUAUCUAUCUUUCUAAACAAGACUAGUUAGAUCUAAAGUCUAAAGUUUAGUAUUAAAAAUUAAAGUAUUUUUACUCGAAGACCUGCCCAAGGGCUAAGGCUAAGUCAAGUCUAAGCUUAAGCAUAAGCUUGUCUAGAAUAGUUACUUAAAGUCAACAGUCUGUCUACACUAAGGCUAAAGGCAGGCUCUUUAGUCACUUUAGAUGCUAAAGUCUUCUAAAGCUUGUUUAGAAUAGUCUAACUCACUCAGUCCUCAGUAACUGACUGUAACUUAAGUCUAAGUCUAGAUCCAGUAAUAGAUCUGAUUUCAAAACUUCAUAAAUCUAGUCAAUCUAAUCUAGAUCUAAGAUACCAGAUCUAGACCUAGUAUAUCUUAUACUUAUAUCUACAAUGUCUACACUUAGACUCUACUCAUCUAGAAUCUAUUCUAGAUCUAGUAUCUAGGCCUAGUAUUUUCAAGGCCAAGCCCAUAAGUUAAGUAUAACUUAGUAAAAGUCAUAAGUCUAAGGCCCAAGGCAAGAAAGGCAUUCUAUCUAUAUGAUUCUUAGAUUCUAUUAAUUAUAAUUAUUUUCUAUAUUUAUUAUAAUUUUAAUCUAGAUCUAGAGUCUAGAUCUAGUUAAAAGAAGUUAUCAUCUAGCUAUGAUUAUAAUUAGAUUUAAUUAGAUCUAGAUCUAUGUCAAUUUAUGAUUUAUAAAUUAAAAUUUAAUUAGUCUACAAAUUAGAUCUAUAAUCUACAUUUGUGCAGUCAUUUGAGCAAUCAAUAGAUUAUUACUUAUCACUUAAGGUAGAUCUGGCUGAAGAAUCUAUACUUAUAAUCUAGAUCUAGAAUUCCAGAGAACAUUUUCAUUACGAAGAUGUUUUAUUGUUUACACCUGACUACAGUAAAAAAUAGGCCAAAUUAGUGCACUGUAGUCACGUGACUGUAAUUAGAAACUUAUUUUGUUUUCGCAAUGUAGAUACUACAUGCAGGACAGAAAUGCUAUUAUUAAAAAUCCUUGGGCCUAGAGAUUUCAAAUCUUAUGUAGAAGUAACAGAAAAAUGCAUAUACUACACACAAAAAUAAUGAUAGAACAAAAUGUGUCAAUUUGUUCAUUCAAAGAUGUGUACGUAAAUGCAAAAAUUCAAGGUCAGUCCCAUUGGCCGCCAUAUUAACAUUAAUGAACUUUGGGUACCUCACAUAAAUGAAGAGAAAAAAAAAACCUUGGACAUACAAAGCAAUGUAGAUGAUUUAGAACUAUGUUAAAAUGGAUUAUCUACACGAAAUACAAUAUUUUUUUGUAAAUGAAGCAAUACGAGUCUUGUAAUAGUUCUGCAAAUAAUAACUAUUUUUAU